rnacentral:rRNA from 1 species
AUACGGAGGGGGCUAGCGUUGUUCGGAAUUACUGGGCGUAAAGCGCGUGUAGGUGGCUUGGAAAGUUGGGUGUGAAAGCCCGGGGCCCAACCCCGGAAUUGCACUCAAAACUUCCUCGCUAGAGUCUCGGAGAGGAAAGCGGAAUUCCCGGUGUAGAGGUGAAAUUCGUAGAUAUCGGGAGGAACACCAGUGGCGAAGGCGGCUUUCUGGACGAUGACUGACACUGAGACGCGAAAGCGUGGGGAGCAAACAGGAUUAGAAACCCCGGUAGUCC